rnacentral:misc_RNA from 1 species
UCUCCGUAGGUGAACCUGCGGAGGGAUCAUUACAGAGUUCCUGCCCUAACGGGUAGUUCCCCCACCCUAUGCUAUUAUUACUCUGUUGCUUUCGCGAGCCGUUAGGCCGCGGCCCGACUAACGGGCCCGGGUGGUAAGCGACCGCCCGUGGACCCAAAACCACGAAAAUUAGCGUCGUCUGAGUACUAGCUAAUAGUUAAAACUCUCAACAACGGAUCUCUUGGUUCUG